rnacentral:rRNA from 1 species
UACAGAGGGUGCGAGCGUUAAUCGGAAUUACUGGGCGUAAAGCGCGCGUAGGCGGCUUGUUAAGUCAAAUGUGAAAUCCCCGAGCUUAACUUGGGCAUUGCAUUCGAUACUGGCAAGCUAGAGUAUGGGAGAGGAAGGUAGAAUUCCAGGUGUAGCGGUGAAAUGCGUAGAGAUCUGGAGGAAUACCGAUGGCGAAGGCAGCCUUCUGGCCUAAUACUGACACUGAGGUGCGAAAGCAUGGGGAGCAAACAGG